GGCCGGCUGGCUCAAUUGGUAGGGCACCUGACUACGGAUCAGGAGGUUGCAGGUUCGAGUCCUGCGUCGGUCA
rnacentral:tRNA from 1 species